AGCGAACGCUGGCGGCAGGCUUAACACAUGCAAGUCGAGCGGUCACUCUCGGGUGUCUGCGGCGGACGGGUGAGUAACGCGUGGGAACGUGCCCUCUGGUUCGGAAUAACUCUGUGAAACUUGACCUAAUACCGGAUCCGCCCCUCUGGGGAAAGGCUUCCUGCCGGAGGAUCGGCGCGAGUCUUAUUAGCUUGUUGGUGAGUUCACGGCUCACCAACGCGUUGAUUAGUAUCUCGUCUGACAGGAUGAUCGGCUACACUGGGGUUCAGACACGGCCCAGACUCGUACGGGAGGCAGAAGAGUGUGAUAUUGGGCGAAGGGCGCAUGUCUAACCCGGCCAUGCGGCGUGUGGGAUGAAGGCCUUAGGGUUGUAAAGCUCUCUUAGCCGGCACGAUAAUGACGGUACCGGAGGAAUAAGCCCCGGCUAACUUCGUG
rnacentral:rRNA from 1 species